UUGGACAAGGCGUAUUUAUGAAUGCCAAUCAAAACAAUUUUAUUGGUUCAUUUUAAAGGUGAUUUUAAACAUUCAUUGACAACGCUGGAUUAUAUUUUAACUACUCCAUAAACAUUAGAUGACAAACCAAGUGUUGGUAGAUAUCGUCUGCUGUUUAUUGGUUAUACUUUAUUUACAAUGCAGUAAAAUAUGAAAUUACUGCACUACAUUUUGAGCCACACCUUACUUAUGAUCCAGACACUGCACCUUUACCAAGUAGUUGGCCCAACAAUAGGAGACAUGUUCUUCAAAUCAUUUCUAAUAAAUCUGGCAUAAUGAGUAAUAUUCCUCUGAAAGCGGCAGCGUUGGAUACCGAGAACAAAUUUUCCCUUUUACCAAGGAUGUUAUAUAUGAUUUUCUAAUGACUACUGAAACCAUCUUAAGUAUUUCUACUAUUGUGAAUGAUUUUGAUUGUACAAAUAACUCACUGGAGUGUUGUGCUAAGGUCUUAGAAAACCACAUACACACUGGAUCUUUAGGAAAACGCGUAGCAUGGUCAGUGAUACACAACCCUGGCAGGAUUCUGACUUUGAGGACAUCAAUUAAGUAUUUUAAUAGGUGACCUGUACGUUUUAUUUUGUUCAAUAAAAGUACAUUGAUACUGUUCAUGUUGUUUGCAGUUCACCAGUGUUGCAAUCCCUGUUCAAAAUGUAUAUUUGGAAUUAAAUAGUUUAUUGAUUCUUUA